rnacentral:miRNA from 1 species
AUAUAUACACACACAUAUACACACAUACACACACACAAAUACACAUGUGUGUGUGUGUGUGUAUGUAUAUGUGUGUGUGUAUAU